rnacentral:rRNA from 1 species
UACCUGGUUGAUCCUGCCAGUAGUCAUAUGCUUGUCUCAAAGAUUAAGCCAUGCAUGUCUAAGUAUAAGCCUUUAUACGGUGAAACUGCGAAUGGCUCAUUAAAACAGUUAUCGUCUCCUUGACAGUUCAUACUACAUGGAUACCUAUGGUAAUUCUAGAGCUAAUACAUGCCUACAGACCCGACUUCGGAAGGGUUGUGCUUAUUAGAUACUACACCAACCGUCUUCGGACGGUUUUGCUGACUCAUAGUACCCAGCGAAUCGCAUGCUUCGGCGGCGAUGUGUCAUCCGAGUUUCUGACCUAUCAGCUUUCGACGGUAGGGUAUUGGCCUACCGUUGCUUUGACGGGUAACGGAGAAUUAGGGUUCGAUUCCGGAGAGGGAGCCUGCGAAACGGCUACCACAUCUAGGGAAGGCAGCAGGCGCGCAAAUUACCCAAUCCUGACUCAGGGAGGUAGUGACAAGAAAUAACAAUACUGGACCUUUCAGGUUUAGUAAUUGGAAUGAGAACAAUUUAAAUCCCUUAUCGAGUAUCAAUUGGAGGGCAAGUCUGGUGCCAGCAGCCGCGGUAACUCCAGCUCCAAUAGC